ensembl:lncRNA
CAAACCUCUCUGAUCCCUUUCUGCGUUCUCCGUAUCACUAUAUCCAGCUGUGAGAGACUUCUUUACUUUCACCAUCCGCAAACAUCAAAAUGCUGGAUGACUGUGCAAACGGGAUUUGAUUGAGAUAAGUUUGUUUGGCCCCAAGGGUGCCUACAGGGAACACAAUACAGUUUAUUCACAGCUUUCAGAGAUAGCAAGGACAUUGCCGACAUCAAAAAGUUUCACCCAUUUAUAGUUUUAAGGCUAAACUUCUGGUUUCAGUUUUACAUACGGAGUAAAGGGAUUACACAGUUCCUUUAAAAGAGUAAUAAAAUAGAAUAACAGAUCAGAUUCAUCCUUGUUAGCAGUUAAGCUUUUUUGUUUUUUUUUUUUUUUUUUCUCUUUCUUUUUUCCUUUUUCUUCUUUUUUUUCUCUUUCUUUUUUCCUUUUUCUUCUCUUUUUUUUCUUUUUUCUUCUUCUUUUUCUCUCUCUUUUUUCUUCUUCUCUUUUCCUCUUCUUCUUUUCUUCUUUUUUUUCUUUUUGAUUUAAAAGACACCUUGUGUAACUAAGUGGUUUUGACAAAAGUGCAUUAUUGUUUAGAUUAGGGGUCUCAAACUCGUGGCCCGUGGGCCAUUUGCGGCCCACGUCACUUCUACUUGCGGCCCGCAUAUUGAUGUGAAGAAAUAUUUUUUAAAAAUUAUUAUACGAAAAAUGAUUUAAUACGACGGCAGAGUGUUACAGGCAUGGCCGUUUAAGACUGUGGCCUCAUGGGUGGUGUAGUCCGUGCAGCAGGGAGAACGUGUGGGACCGCCCCUCCCGCUGUGUGAGCAUGAGGGAGGGAGAAAAAGAAAAGUGGAAAAGUAGGAGCUGUCACGGAGCAGAAACGGAAGCUGGAAGCAUGUAAAUAUAAUAAUAACCACUGACGAGCCCAGCUGUAAGUAAGCUGUUAAGACUUGACUGUACGCUGUGUUCCUGUUUUCCUCCGAAACAAUAAAGUUCUGCUGGAGCAGCCUUUCAGCGCCUCUCUCUGUCUCUCGCUAGCAAAGCUGACCCAGACAGUAAAGCUCAUUCGUGGCUACGAGCCCCACACGGACCCCAC